rnacentral:tRNA from 1 species
GGAGAGGUGUCCGAGCGGUUGAAGGAGCACGCUUGGAAAGCGUGUAAGCGGGGCAACCCGUUUCUGGGGUUCGAAUCCCCAUCUCUCCGCCA